GUCGAACGGGCUCUUCGGAGCUAGUGGCGGACGGGUGAGUAACGCGUGAGGAUCUGCCCUUAGGACGGGGACAACAGCUGGAAACGGCUGCUAAUACCCGAUGUGCCGAGAGGUGAAACUAUUUGGCCUGAGGAUGAGCUCGCGUCUGAUUAGCUAGUUGGAGUGGUAACGGCACACCAAGGCGACGAUCAGUAGCUGGUCUGAGAGGAUGAUCAGCCACACUGGGACUGAGACACGGCCCAGACUCCUACGGGAGGCAGCAGUGGGGAAUUUUCCGCAAUGGGCGAAAGCCUGACGGAGCAAGACCGCGUGCGGGAGGAAGGUCUAUUGAUUGUAAACCGCUUUUGAUAGGGAAGAAGAUCUGACGGUACCUAUCGAAUCAGCAUCGGCUAACUCCGUGCCAGCAGCCGCGGUAAUACGGGGGAUGCAAGCGUUAUCCGGAAUUAUUGGGCGUAAAGCGUCCGUAGGUGGUUUUAAAAGUCUGUUGUCAAAUCGCGAGGCGUAACCUCGUACAGGCAGUGGAAACUAUAAGACUAGAGUGCGGUAGGGGUAGAGGGAAUUUCCAGUGUAGCGGUGAAAUGCGUAGAUAUUGGAAAGAACACCGGUGGCGAAGGCGCUCUACUGGGCCUGCACUGACACUGAGGGACGAAAGCUAGGGGAGCGAAAGGGAUUAGAUACCCCUGUAGUCCUAGCCGUAAACGAUGGAAACUAGGUGUUGCCCGUAUCGACCCGAGCCGUGCCGA
rnacentral:rRNA from 1 species